UACGUAGGGUGCGAGCGUUUAAUCGGAAUUACUGGGCGUAAAGCGUGCGCAGGCGGUCUGUUAAGACCGAUGUGAAAUCCCCCGGGCUUAACCCUGGGAACUGCAUUGGUGACUGGCAGGCUUUGAGUGUGGCAGAGGGAGGUAGAAUUCCACGUGUAGCAGUGAAAUGCGUAGAGAUGUGGAGGAAUACCGAUCGGCGAAGGCAGCCUCCUGGGCCAACACUGACGCUCAUGCACGAAAGCGUGGGGAGCAAACAGG
rnacentral:rRNA from 1 species